UCGGCUAGUUGGAUAAUCCUGUACUGUUGUGUUUUCUUUUAGAGAUGGAAUCUCGCUGUGUCACCCAGGCUGGAAUGCAGUGACUCGAUCAUAACUCACUAUGACCUCGAACUCCCAGGCUAAAGCAGUCCUCAAGCAAUCCUUCCACCUCAGCCUUCUGAGUAGCUGGGAGUAGCUGAUUAACUAAUGCGUGUCACCACGCCCAGCUAAUUUGUGUAUGUGUGUGCACAGGUGUAGAGCUAGGGGUCUUGCUAUGUUGCUCAGGCUAGUCUUGAACUCCUGGCCUCAAGCAGUCUUGUCUUGACCUCUCAAACCAGUGGGACUGUAGGUGUGAGCCAUUGCUCCUGGCUGAGCACUGUUUUUUUUAGGACAGACUGUAUUCAUUGUUGCAAUCUUCAGCUUUUGGAACAUCGUCUAGGACAGAGAAGCUGCACAAUAUGUAUUUAUCGAAUGAGUGAAUGAUACUUUUGGGAGAGAAGACAGUGGGUUGGAGAAAUAUCUUGGAAGAAUUGGAAAUUUUAGGUGGACCUUGAAGAAAGGGUAAAAUUCAAUUAGGACACAAGCAGUGAUCAAAAGCAUUGAGUUGGGAACAAAGUGGUAGGAUGUGGGAGUUAGUAUAUAGUAAAAACAACUAAAAUAUAGAAAGAGAUUAUGUGUUUAAUAGAAAUAGGAUUGACUAAAGUGAAUCCACGUUGUAUCUGUAAGAGGUCCAUCGUUGAACUUUAUUUUUUUUUGUUUUGUUUUUGAGACAGGGUCUCACUCUGUUAUCUAGGCUGGAGUGCGGUGGCACAAUCUCAGCUCACUGCAGCCUCAGCCUCCCAGGUUCAAGUGAUUCUCCUGCUUCAGCCUCCCAUAUAGGGAUUACAGGCCUGCACCACCACACCUGGCUAAUUUUUGAGAUGGUAUCUCACUCUGUUGCCCAGGUUGGAGUGCAGUGGUGUAAUCUCAGCUCACUGCAACCUCCACUUCCUAGGUUCAAACUAUUGUCCCACCUCAGCUUCCCGAGUAGCUGGGAUUACAGGCAUGCGCCACCAUAUCCAGCUAGUUUUUGUAUUUUUAGUGGAGAUGGGGUUUCACCAUGUUGGCCAGGCUGGUCAUGAACUGCCGACCUCUGAUGAUCUGCCCACCUCGGCCUCCCAAAAUGUUGGGAUUACAGGUGUGAGCCACUGCGCCCAGCCUAGAUACAGAAUUUCAGUUGAAGAAGAUAAGUUCUAGAGAUGGAUGGUGGUAAUGGUUGUACAGCAGUGUGCAUGUACUGAAUGUCUCUGAACUAUAUACUUAAAAAUGUUUAAAAUGGUAAACCUGAUAUAUAUAUGUUAAAGAAAUGUUUAAAGUUGGCCCAUAUCUGGAGGAUACAGAUCAUCAGAAUAUCUUAAUCAUUGCUGGUGGGAGUGUAAAUUGGUAUAGCGCUUUUGGAACAAUUUGGCGUUAUCCUGUAAAGAUAAACAUUUCCAUGCCCUUUGACCUGCCAUUUUGCUCCUAGGCAUAUACAUAAAAGAAACUUUGUUUUUUUUUUUGAGACAGAGUUUGCUCUGUUGUCCAGGCUCAAGUAAAGUGGCACAAUCACAGCUCACUGCAUCCUUGAUCUUCUGGCCUCCAGCUAUCCUCCCACUUCACCCUGCUAGUAGCUGGGACUACAGGUGCAUGCCACCAUGCCCAGCAAAUUUUUUUUUGUUUUUUUUUGGUAGAGGCAGGGUUUCACUAUUGUAUUAGUUCAUUUUUACGCUGCUGAUAAAAACAUAACCGAAACUAAAACCAAAAAGAGGUUUAAUUGGACUUACAGUUCCACGUGGCUGGGGAGGCCUCAGAAUCUUGGUGGGAGGCAAAAAGCACUUCUUUUUUUUUUU
rnacentral:lncRNA from 10 species